ACACGACUACAUUAGAUACCCCUGUAGUCCAGGGUGUAAACGCUGCGGGCUUGGUGUUGGGGUCCUUUGAGGGCGCCCAGUGCCGGAGAGAAGUUGUUAAGCCUGCUGCUUGGGGAGUACGUCCGCAAGGAUGAAACUUAAAGGAAUUGGCGGGGGAGCACCGCAACGGGAGGAGCGUGCGAUUCAAUUGGAUUCAACGCCGGACAACUCACCAGGAGCGACGGUUACAUGAAGGCCAGGCUGAUGACCUUGCCUGAUUUUCCG
rnacentral:rRNA from 1 species